UACGUAGGGGGCGAGCGUUGUCCGGAGUUACUGGGCGUAAAGGGCACGCAGGCGGUGCUGCGCGUUUCGCGUGACAGCGGGUGGCUUAACUGCCCGAGGAUGCGAAAGACGGCAGGACUUGAGGGCCAGAGAGGGACACGGAAUUCCGGGUGGAGUGGUGAAAUGCGUAGAGAUCCGGAGGAACACCGAAGGCGAAGGCAGUGUCCUGGCUGGUGACUGACGCUGAGGUGCGAAAGCCAGGGGAGCGAACGGG
rnacentral:rRNA from 1 species